rnacentral:rRNA from 1 species
CGGCAUGCCUUACACAUGCAAGUCGAACGGCAGCACGGGAGCAAUCCUGGUGGCGAGUGGCGAACGGGUGAGUAAUAUAUCGGAACGUGCCCAGUCGUGGGGGAUAACGUAGCGAAAGCUACGCUAAUACCGCAUACGAUCUAUGGAUGAAAGCGGGGAUCGCAAGACCUCGCGCGAUUGGAGCGGCCGAUAUCAGAUUAGGUAGUUGGUGAGGUAAAGGCUCACCAAGCCGACGAUCUGUAGCUGGUCUGAGAGGACGACCAGCCACACUGGGACUGAGACACGGCCCAGACUCCUACGGGAGGCAGCAGUGGGAAUUUUGGACAAUGGGCGCAAGCCUGAUCCAGCAAUGCCGCGUGCAGGAUGAAGGCCUUCGGGUUGUAAACUGCUUUGUACGGAACGAAACGGUGAGCUCUAAUACAGUUUGCUAAUGACGGUACCGUAAGAAUAAGCACCGGCUAACUACGUG